rnacentral:rRNA from 1 species
GGGUCCGCGUCUCAUCAGCUAGUUGGUGGGGUAAUGGCCUACCAAGGCAACGAUGGGUAGCUGGUCUGAGAGGAUGAUCAGCCACACUGGAACUGAAACACGGUCCAGACUCCUACGGGAGGCAGCAGUGGGGAAUAUUGGGCAAUGGGGGCAACCCUGACCCAGCGACGCCGUGUGAGGGAUGAAGGCUUUCGGGUCGUAAACCUCUGUCAGGAGGGAAGAACCGCAUGGGGAUGAACAAGCCCUGUGCCUGACGGUACCUCCAAAGGAAGCACCGGCUAACUCCGUGCCAGCAGCCGCGGUAAUACGGAGGGUGCAAGCGUUAUUCGGAAUUACUGGGCGUAAAGCGUGCGUAGGCGGCUUGGUAAGUCAGGUGUGAAAGCCCUCGGCUCAACCGAGGAACUGCAUUUGAUACUGCCAGGCUAGAGUGUGGGAGAGGGCAGCGGAAUUCCCGGUGUAGGAGUGAUAUCCGUAGAUAUCGGGAGGAACACCAGUGGCGAAGGCGGCUGCCUGGACCACAACUGACGCUGAGGCACGAAAGCGUGGGUAGCAAACAGGAUUAGAUACCC